rnacentral:tmRNA from 1 species
AUACGGGGUAUCAUCGAUUCGGAGAUAGUGCGCCGGAGCGUUCCGGCCGGUGCGCGAAAUUCAAGGAACUGGGAUCCGGGUUCGGCCGUCGCCUGCCAGACCCGGAUAGAAGGAUCAAACGGCGACUAAGCGUGUAGAAAGCUUUCGGGUUCCCUGUUUGGACGCGGGUUCGACUCCCGCCACCUCCACUU